rnacentral:rRNA from 1 species
GACGAACCGAGCGAACGUUAUUCGGAAUCACUGGGCUUAAAGGGCGCGUAGGCGGGCGGUCAAGUCCGGGGUGAAAGCCUCCAGCUCAACUGGAGAAGUGCCUCGGAUACUGGCCAGUCUCGAGGGAGAUAGGGGCGUGCGGAACUUCCGGUGGAGCGGUGAAUGCGUAGAUAUCGGAAGGAACGACCGGUGGCGAAGCGGCGACCGCUGGAUCGUCUUCUGACGCUGAGGCGCGGAAAGCCAGG